rnacentral:rRNA from 1 species
GGCGAACGGGUGAGUAAUACAUCGGAACAUUUCCAGUAGCGGGGGAUAACCUGUCGAAAGAUAGGCUAAUACCGCAUACGAUCUACGGAUGAAAGCGGGGGACCGCAAGGCCUCGCACUAUUGGAGUGGCCGAUGUCGGAUUAGCUAGUUGGUGGGGUAAAAGCCUACCAAGGCGACGAUCCGUAGCUGGUCUGAGAGGACGAUCAGCCACACUGGAACUGAGACACGGUCCAG